CAGGAAAGCGUUCUGCACUUCAGUGGAAAAGGCAAAUCUUGUAACACUUGGCCUUGGCCUAGGUGCUGGGUGUCCAGAGCGGAUAGAGGCCCAUGGCGACAGUUGUGCCAGCAGAUUCCUGCUGCUAAGUCCCCGGCCUUUGCGCUCUGUGGCCUGGGCUGAUGGGUGGGUGGGUGCCUUUAUUUGCCUGGUUGAGGAGUGCACUCACUGGGGGCCAUUUGGUUUGAAACAUUUUUUGCAGCUAAGGGGUGGUAAAGAUGACGCUAGUUUAGCUGAGUUUAAGGCUAAUUAAUCAGCCUUCUUUUUUCUUUUUCUUUCCUUUUUUUUUUAGACAGAGUCUCACACAAUUCCCUGGGCUGGAGUGCAGUGGUGCGAUCAUGGCUCACUACUGCAGCAUCAACCUCCUGGACUCAAGCAAUUCUCCUGCCUCAGCCUCCCGAGUAGCUGGGACUAUAGGUGCCCAACACCAUUGCCCCGCUAUUUUUUUAUUUUUUAUUUUUUAUUUUUUGUGGAGACAGGGCUUUGCCAUGUUGCUCAGGCUGGUCUCAAACUCCUGGGCCCAAGUGAUCCUCCUGCCUCAGUCUCCCAAAGUGCCAGAUUUACAGGUGUAAGCCACCGCGCCCAGCCAAAUCAGCCUUCUAAAGAGCUUAAUUUUCCAUCACUGACUUUGUGUUCUUUUAUACAAAGGUUGCAGACUCCGAGGCUGAAACCCCUUUCUGACCGGUAGCUCUAGAGUAAACAAACGCCUGGACUUUCUUCAUCCCCUGAAGACAAAGAACUUGUUCAUGAGCCUCUCCAGGCAGCUCGUGGUCUGAGCUGUCAGGAAUGACGGAUGAGCAGCUGCUUUUGCCGGCGCCUCCGCGGCAGCUAAGGUAGCGCUCACAGGACUGUCUACACCAUGGACUCAGUGUUCAGGUGUUCAGGGAGUUAUUAUUGGAGCAGCUCACUCUAUCUUAAGGCAGACAGCCCCGGGCAAAGCGCAGCGGAUAAACACAAGUGACAUCUUAUGAAACCUAAGUUCAUGUGAAAUCCUAGAUAAUUCUGUUGUCAGAAGUGAAAAUAUAUAUUGCAUUUUUAUCUAAAAAUAAAAAUGAAUGUGAU
rnacentral:lncRNA from 1 species